UGCCGCUUGCGAGGGCGUAUGGUGGAUGCCUUGGCAGACAGUACCGAUGAAGGACGUUUGAGGAUGCGAUAAUCCUAGGGGAGCCUCCAACAUGGCUUUGAUCCUAGGGUCUCCGAAUGGGGGACCCCGCCGGCCGUCAUGGGCCGGCACCGCCUAUGGGCGGGGGGUACGCAGGGAAGUGAAACAUCUCAGUACCUGCAGGAAGGGAUACUCCGUGAGUAGUGGCGAGCGAAAGCGGAUCAGACCAAACCGGUUGCGCGUGAUACCCGUCGGGGGUUGCGUUGCCGGUGUUGUGGGAUCACGUGUCCCGGUUCCGACGGGCCGGGCGGGAGUCAUAAAACGGCUUGCCAGGGGAACAGGCUUGAAGGCCUGGCCGUAGAGGGUGCCAGCCCCGUACCUGGACGUGAGCCGUCUUCCGAUCGUGUUGUCCCAAGUAGCGCGGGCCUCGUGGAAUCCCGCGUGAAUCAGCCCAGACCGUUGGGUAAGUCUAAGCAUACCUGUCUGACCGAUAGCGUACCAGUACCGUGAGGGAAAGGUGAAAAGCACCCCGGGAGGGGAGUGAAACAGUUCCUGAAACCGUGCGCCCACAAACCGUCGGAGCCUCCUUGUGGGGUGACGGCGUGCCUAUCGAAAAAUGAGUCUGCGAGUCAGUGGCGGGUGGCGAGCAUAAGCCGUGUGGCGUAUGCGUAGCGAAAGCGAGUCUUAAAAGGCGUUUGUAGUCGCUUGUCCUGGACCCGAAGCGGGAUGAUCUAGCCCUGGGCAGGUUGAAGCGCGGGUAAGACCGCGUGGAGGACCGAACCCACCUGGGUUGAAAACCGGGGGGAUGACCUGGGGCUAGGGGUGAAAGGCCAAUCAAAUUCCGUGAUAGCUGGUUCUCUCCGAAAUGCAUUUAGGUGCAGCGUCGGUCGAUUGCGUCGCGGGGGUAGAGCUACCGGAUGCUUGCGGGCCCUUGUUGGGUACCAACAGCAGCCGAACUCCGAAUACCGUUGACGUGUAUUCCGGCAGUGAGUCGGCGGGGGAUAAGCUCCGUCGUCGAGAGGGAGACAGCCCAGACCGUCGUCUAAGGUCCCGAAGCGUGUGCUAAGUGGGAAAGGAUGUGGAGUCGCAUAGACAGCCAGGAGGUUGGCUCAGAAGCAGCCAUCCUUGAAAGAGUGCGUAACAGCUCACUGGUCUAGUGGUUCCGCGCCGACAAUGUAGCGGGGCUCAAGCACACCACCGAAGACGCGGCAGCAAUCUUCAUGGUUGCUGGGUAGGAGAGCGUCCUGCGAGGGGCGAAGCGGCCGGGUAACCGUGCCGUGGACUUCGUGGGAGUGAGAAUGCAGACAUGAGUAGCGAGAGACGGGUGAGGAUCCCGUCCGCUGGAUGACCAAGGGUUCCGGGGCCACGUUCGUCGUCCCCGGGUGAGUCGGGUCCUAAGGCGAGGCCGACAGGCGUAGUCGAAUGGAUGAACGGGUGGAUAUUCCCGUACCGACCAUGGACCGGCAAAACCGAGACGGUGAGUACUAACCUCCGCCUCGUGGUGGUUCCUUCCUUCGGGUUGGUCCCGCCGCGUGGCGUUGGGACUGUAGCCGCAGUAGGUCAGCGCAGGGGUGACACGGAAUGGGAGCCGGCCGCGGAGGUGGUUUUCCGUGGUCAAGCACGCAGCCAGUCAUGUAGGCAAAUCCGCAUGGCGCGCAUGGCGAGGUGUGAUGAUGGGAGCCGUUAUGGCUCGAUAUCCGGUUGUCCAGGCCGUCGAGAAAAGCCUCGGCGUGAGGGCCAUGGCCGCCCGUACCCCAAACCGACACUGGUGGUCAGGUAGAGAAUACCAAGGCGAUCGAGCGAAUCCUGGUCAAGGAACUCGGCAAAUCACUCCCGUGCCUUCGGUAUAAGGGAGACCCACUGGGGUGAAGGACCUUGCGUCCGGAGCUUUGGUGGGUGGCACAGACCAGGGGGUAGCGACUGUUUACCAAAAACACAGGUGCAUGCGAAGGCGAAAGCCGCUGUAUAUGCACUGACGCCUGCCCGGUGCCGGAAGGUUAAGAGGAGAUGUCAGCGCAAGCGAAGCAUUGAAUUGAAGCCCCGGUAAACGGCGGCCGUAACUAUAACGGUCCUAAGGUAGCGAAAUUCCUUGUCGGGU
rnacentral:rRNA from 1 species